rnacentral:rRNA from 1 species
UACGGGGGGGGUAAGCGUUGUUCGGAAUUACUGGGCGUAAAGGGCGCGUAGGCGGCCACCGCAAGUCGGUUGUGAAAUCUCUGGGCUUAACCCAGAAAGGUCAACCGAUACUGCGGGGCUAGAGUGCAGAAGGGGCAACUGGAAUUCUCGGUGUAGCGGUGAAAUGCGUAGAUAUCAGGAGGAACACCUAUUGCGAAGGCAGCUCGCUGGGACGUUACUGACGCUGAGACGCGAAAGCGUGGGGAGCAAACAGG